rnacentral:misc_RNA from 1 species
UUAUCAACCAUCAAGCCUGGCUUGUCAUUGGACCCUCUUUGUUGCCCAUGCGACAGGUCUAAAAGAUAAUAAACGGUGUCCUGGUAGCCCUAAAUGCAACGAGCUUUUUAUAGCACGCAUCUAGUUGUUAGUAGGCCCGGUCUCAACCCUUUUUUCUCAAGGUUGACCUCGGAUCAGGUAGGAAUACCCGCUGAACUUAA